UACGUAGGGGGCUAGCGUUGUCCGGAAUCAUUGGGCGUAAAGAGCGUGUAGGCGGUCCGGUAAGUCCGCUGUGAAAGUCGGGGGGCUCAACCCUCGAAUGCCGGUGGAUACUGUCGGGCUAGAGUGCGGAAGAGGCGAGUGGAAUUCCUGGUGUAGCGGUGAAAUGCGUAGAUAUCGGGAGGAACACCUGUGGCGAAAGCGG
rnacentral:rRNA from 1 species